rnacentral:rRNA from 1 species
UACGUAGGGGGCAAGCGUUGUCCGGAUUUAUUGGGCGUAAAGAGCGUGUAGGCGGCCAUACAGGUCCGUUGUGAAAACUGGAGGCUUAACCUCCAGACGUCGAUGGAAACCGUAUGGCUAGAGUCCGGAAGAGGAGAGUGGAAUUCCUGGUGUAGCGGUGAAAUGCGCAGAUAUCAGGAGGAACACCGGUGGCGAAGGCGGGUCUCUGGGCCGUAACUGACGCUGGAGGAGCGAAAGCAUGGGGAGCGAACAGG